rnacentral:rRNA from 1 species
UACAGAGGUCUCAAGCGUUGUUCGGAUUCAUUGGGCGUAAAGGGUGCGUAGGUGGCGGGGUAAGUCAGGUGUGAAAUCUCGGGGCUCAACCCUGGAACUGCAUUCGAUACUGCCUGGCUAGGGUACUGGAGAGGAGACUGGAAUUUACGGUGUAGCAGUGAAAUGCGUAGAUAUCGUAAGGAAGACCAGUGGCGAAGGCGAGUCUCUGGACAGUUACCGACGCUGAGGCACGAAGGUCAGGGGAGCAAACGGG